GGAUGGGCAUGCGUGACAUUAGCUAGUUGGCGGGGCAACGGCCCACCAAGGCGACGAUGUCUAGGGGUUCUGAGAGGAAGGUCCCCCACACUGGUACUGAGACACGGACCAGACUCCUACGGGAGGCAGCAGUGAGGAAUAUUGGUCAAUGGGCGCGAGCCUGAACCAGCCAAGUCGCGUGAGGGAUGACGGCCCUAUGGGUUGUAAACCUCUUUUGUCGGAGAACAAAACCCGGGACGUGUCCCGGACUGCGUGUAUCCGAAGAAAAAGCACCGGCUAACUCCGUGCCAGCAGCCGCGGUAAUACGGAGGAUGCGAGCGUUAUCCGGAUUUAUUGGGUUUAAAGGGUGCGCAGGCGGAAGAUCAAGUCAGCGGUAAAAUUGAGAGGCUCAACCUCUUCGAGCCGUUGAAACUGGUUUUCUUGAGUGAGCGAGAAGUAUGCGGAAUGCGUGGUGUAGCGGUGAAAUGCAUAGAUAUCACGCAGAACUCCGAUUGCGAAGGCAGCAUACCGGCGCUCAACUGACGCUCAUGCACGAAAGUGUGGGUAUCGAACAGGAUUAGAUACCCUGGUAGUCCACACAGUAAACGAUGAAUACUAAUUGUUCGGGGAGAAUGAUCCCUGAGUGAUACAGCGAAAGCGUUAAGUA
rnacentral:rRNA from 1 species